AUAAUUUUUCAUAAUAAAAUUCACAACCUUACUUUUAUACAUAGCACAACCCAUAGUAUUUUACCAUACUAUUCACAAAUGGUUGAUCUCACACCUAUUUACAAGAACACAAGGUUCACACAAAACGGGAUGGGAUCUCAGUCCUCAUCCGGGUCAUACUCAAGAUCCUUCUAUGGAUCAUCUUCUCUUCAAAAUCUUCCUCCUCCUUAAGUUUCACAUCAAGGUUCUCCUCCUCAAAUUCCUCCUCCUCAGGCUCCUCAUCAGGGUCCUGAAAUGGUUAUACAAUAACCAUUGAGACCACGUCUUAGUAAGUUCUACCCCCUAAGACUCGAUUAGUAAACUAAUACGCUAUAUGGGUUGCCUAUGCACACAUGAGUCAGAGAACUUAUCUUGGCCUCAGAUUCCACCUGCAAAUUAGCACAGUUCAAAUAGACACCCAAUCAUAAUAUCACGGAUCGAAACAUUGAUCAAAUCGACUUAGUCGAUUAUAUGUCAGUCGAACCAUCUCUUGAUCACUCCCAACCAUACUACACAAUUUCCAGUAUAUACCUAGUCACCGAACCACGUAUUUUCCCUCAAGCGCCGAUUUCGCCAAGACAAUGUACCAAUCACCCAUCCCACAUAUUUUCAAAGGCGCCUUUUUUGCCAAGAUGAUGUAUACAAUAAACACUUUAUGUGCAUACUCUCUGGCGUCAUUUUCGCCGUGGUGAUAUAUUUAAUCAGAAAGCCAAUAUAAACCAAUUAAGUACAUUCUCCUUCAAGCAUUCCAAUUACUUUCAGCCACACGGGCACGAUACUCGGCACACAAAAAUACGAACACACAGCCACAAUCUACGCCACACAGGCACAUUCUAUACCACACAGGCAUGAUUAAUUAUCGCCACAUAGGCAUGAUCAAUUAUCGCCACACAGAAAUGAUAUAUAUUCAACAAUUUACGUGCAUUCUCUAAGGCAUCCUAUAUGCCAAAACGAUGUAAUAAUCGCCAAGCUAUGCCAUACAACAUUUCUUAUUAUCUUUUAUCAUACCCGAUAAAAUAUCGUGCAUGGGCACAUAGUUGGCUUUAGCCAAAAUAUAAUAUUUUCCUUUCCAUAACUCCCACAUUUAUAGUCCACUAAAAAAAAUGUUGGCAUUAUCAAUCGAUGCCCGGUUAUUUUUCAAUUAAUAACCAACAUUAAUUAAUUCAGGAAUAAUUCCCAAAUUCAUAGAUAAUUCAAUUCCACACAAAAUAAAGCUCAAUUAAAUAAACGGACUGCGCCAUGAUAAUCGACAUAAAAUUCUAGUCGUCGGCUAUCUCUGCCUAAUUUCCGGAAAAUAAAUAAAUAAAUAAAUCUAAUUUAUGCCCGUAAUGCCUAAUUGGAGCCCGAAACGGGUCGGGAAAAAUUCCGAGAUGCAUUCAAUAAAUAGGAGUACGUCUCUACUCGCUAAUUGCACAAUUCAAUUGCCUAACAUGCAUCACAAUUAUCUAAUAAUCACUAAUCUGCUCUAAUAUAACUACCUAAUUGCACUUAAUUAAAUCUAAUCAACCCUUAAGCAUCAUUAGCAAACUAAGCAAGGAUUAGUGAGCUAAACUCACUUGAUUAAAAGCGGAGACUAGAUCACCGAGACAGCGGUGCGACGACGGCCGAACUUGGGCUUGUGACGACACCCACGGGCUUGGACCAGGCCUGGAAUCGGUCCAACAAAUCUCAGCUCAAACUAAGAUUUGUUAUUGCGUUGGAUUAGGCUUGCUUCGCGGCUUGGGCUCGGAACUGGGCUUGCUGAACCUGUGGGCUGAACUUUGAAGAUGGGCUGAAACUUGGGCUUUAAAUGGGCCUGACCCAAAACUGAAGUUGGGCUGAACAAAUGUGAGUUGGGCUUGCGACACUUGCUGGGCUUGACUGAAGAUGGACUGCCUUCUUGUGCUGAGAUGGGCUGGGCCGAGAAGCUGCGGGCCUUAAAAGGCUUGACUGCUGGGCUACUUAGCUUGGGAAAAUUCGACUGGACUGGGCUUGAACGGCUGAAGAAAUGGAGAUAGGCCAAAGUGCUGCAGGCUUCUGGCCGAACUGCUGCUCGAUCGUCGAUGCUGGACGAGGGAGCAGCGAAUGAAGGAGAUGCUGGUCGCUGGGAAACGAAGCAGAGAAAGAGGAAGCGAAGCAGCUUCGUUGAUGGUGUCUCGGACGUGUGGAGGAGAACUCCUGGCAGCUUGGAGUCUUCGUUGCUGGAUGGUUGACCGGCAAAUUGAAGACACGAGGAAGCAAAUGGUCUUCGGUGGGAUGCGUGGGCGAAGAGGUCGAUGGAGCUGCUCGGUCUUCAAGAUCAACAAAGCUUCACCUGUUGACUUGGGGAUUUCGGUGGAGGAGAUGGUAGAGACGUGUGGCUUUAGGGCUGGCGCAAGAGAAUUGAACAGAGAGAUGAGGAGAUGCUGAGGGAAAGAAAAAUGAAGGCAGAAGCUUUCGGUGAGGAGAGUUCGUGCGAGGAAGGUGGAAACCAGCUGAGUGUUGGCGUGCAAGCUUGGAAGAGGAAGCUUAAAGUCAAUAGUAUCAUCCAAUUACUUCAAUGCUUGGUCUCCCAAAGCCCACACACAAAUAUCUAAUGUUUCCUAAUUACUUUCUUGCAUUAGUAUCCCACAAUAAUAUCCAAUUUAAAG
rnacentral:lncRNA from 1 species